rnacentral:rRNA from 1 species
GACGAACGCUGGCGGCGUGCUUAACACAUGCAAGUCGAACGGUGAUGCUCCAGCUUGCUGGAGUGGAUCAGUGGCGAACGGGUGAGUAACACGUGAGCAACCUGCCCCAGACUCUGGAAUAAGCGCUGGAAACGGCGUCUAAUACUGGAUACGAAACUGGCCCGCAUGGGCCUGGUUUGUAAAGUUUUUCGGUUUGGGAGGGGCUCGCGGCCUAUCAGCUUGUUGGUGAGGUAAUGGCUCACCAAGGCGACGACGGGUAGCCGGCCUGAGAGGGCGACCGGCCACACUGGGACUGAGACACGGCCCAGACUCCUACGGGAGGCAGCAGUGGGGAAUAUUGCACAAUGGGCGAAAGCCUGAUGCAGCGACGCCGCGUGAGGGAUGACGGCCUUCGGGUUGUAAACCUCUUUCAGCAGGGAAGAAGCGAAAGUGACGGUACCUGCAGAAGAAGCACCGGCUAACUACGUG